rnacentral:rRNA from 1 species
UCGACCGCCUGGGGAGUACGGCCGCAAGGUUAAAACUCAAAUGAAUUGACGGGGGCCCGCACAAGCGGUGGAGCAUGUGGUUUAAUUCGAUGCAACGCGAAGAACCUUACCUGGUCUUGACAUCCACAGAACUUUCCAGAGAUGGAUUGGUGCCUUCGGGAACUGUGAGACAGGUGCUGCAUGGCUGUCGUCAGCUCGUGUUGUGAAAUGUUGGGUUAAGUCCCGCAACGAGCGCAACCCUUAUCCUUUGUUGCCAGCGGUUCGGCCGGGAACUCAAAGGAGACUGCCAGU